GACGAACGCUGGCGGCGUGCUUAACACAUGCAAGUCGAACGAAAAUACCAAGCUUGCUUGGUUGAUUAGUGGCGAACGGGUGAGUAACACGUGAGUAACCUGCCCCUUACUUUCCUGGAUAACUGCUCGAAAGGGUAGCUAAUACGGGAUAUUCUGACCAGCCUGCAUGGGUUGGUUUGGAAAGGUUGUUUUUCUGGUAAGGGAUGGGCUCGCGGCCUAUCAGCUUGUUGGUGGGGUGAUGGCCUACCAAGGCUUUGACGGGUAGCCGGCCUGAGAGGGUGGACGGUCACACUGGGACUGAGAUACGGCCCAGACUCCUACGGGGGGCAGCAGUGGGGAAUAUUGCACAAUGGGCGCAAGCCUGAUGCAGCGACGCCGCGUGAGGGAUGAAGGCCUUCGGGUUGUAAACCUCUUUCGUCAGGGAACAAGGCACUGCUUUUUUGGUGGUGUUGAGGGUACCUGGAUAAGAAGCGCCGGCUAACUACGUG
rnacentral:rRNA from 1 species